UGGCUCUCGCAUCGAUGAAGAACGCAGCGAAAUGCGAUAAGUAAUGUGAAUUGCAGAAUUCAGUGAAUCAUCGAAUCUUUGAACGCAACUUGCGCCCUCUGGUAUUCCGGAGGGCAUGCCUGUUUGAGUGUCAUGUAGACUCGAUCCCUCAAGGUUUCUUGAACCUUGUUGAGAUUGGAAUUGGACGCCUGCCGCAGUUGCCUGGCUCGUCUUAAAAAUCUUUGUGGGGAAGGACCCAGUCAGGAGUAAUAAGUUUCUCUUGUGCCUUGGGUUUGGAACCGCUGUCCAACAACCAUCUAUUUUGACUCUGACCUCAAAUCAGGUAGGGCUACCCGCUGA
rnacentral:misc_RNA from 1 species